rnacentral:rRNA from 1 species
UACGUAGGGUGCGAGCGUUGUCCGGAAUCAUUGGGCGUAAAGAGCUCGUAGGCGGCCUGUCGCGUCGGAUGUGAAAACCCGGGGCUCAACCUCGGGCCUGCAUUCGAUACGGGCAGGCUGGAGUUCGGCAGGGGAGACUGGAAUUCCUGGUGUAGCGGUGAAAUGCGCAGAUAUCAGGAGGAACACCGGUGGCGAAGGCGGGUCUCUGGGCCGAUACUGACGCUGAGGAGCGAAAGCUAGGGGAGCAAACAGG